rnacentral:rRNA from 1 species
CCUACGGGUGGCAGCAGUGAGGAAUAUUGGUCAAUGGGCGCGAGCCUGAACCAGCCAAGUCGCGUGCGGGAAGACGGUCCUACGGAUUGUAAACCUCUUUUGUCGGGGAGCAAAAGUCGCUACGCGUAGCGUUCCGAAAGUACCCUAAGAAAAAGCAUCGGCUAACUCCGUGCCAGCAGCCGCGGUAAUACGGAGGAUGCGAGCGUUAUCCGGAUUUAUUGGGUUUAAAGGGUGCGCAGGUGGAAGAGCAAGUUAGAGUGAAAAUUGAGAGGCUCAACCUCUUCGAGCCGUUGAAACUGAUGUUCUUGAGUGGGCGAGAAGUAUGCGGAAUGCGUGGUGUAGCGGUGAAAUGCAUAGAUAUCACGCAGAACUCCGAUUGCGAAGGCAGCAUACCGGCGCCCAACUGACGCUGAAGCACGAAAGCGUGGGUAUCGAACAGGAUUAGAUACCCGGGUAGUC